GUCGAGGAUCUUCUGCAAUGGGCGCAAGCCUGACAGAGCGACGCCGCGUGAGGGAGGAAGGCCUUCGGGUUGUAAACCUCUGUUGCCGGUUAAGAAUGGUGGAGCGCAAAUAGCGUUUUCACUUGACAAAGGCCGGUGAGGAAGCCACGGCUAACUACGUGCCAGCAGCCGCGGUAAGACGUAGGUGGCGAGCGUUGUUCGGAAUCACUGGGCAUAAAGAGCACGUAGGCGGCUGGGUAAGUCGGAUGUGAAAUACCUCGGCUCAACCGAGGAACUGCGUCCGAUACUGCCCGGCUUGAGGUCCGGAGGGGAGAGUGGAAUUCCCGGUGGAGCGGUGAAAUGCGUAGAGAUCGGGAAGAACGCCGGCGGCGAAAGCGACUCUCUGGUCGGAAUCUGACGCUGAGGUGCGAAAGCUAGGGGAGCAAACGGGAUUAGAUACCCUAGUAGUCC
rnacentral:rRNA from 1 species